UACGUAGGGGGCAAGCGUUGUCCGGAUUUAUUGGGCGUAAAGAGCGUGUAGGCGGCCAGACAGGUCAGCUGUGAAAACUCGAGGCUCAACCUCGAGACGUCGGUUGAAACCGUCUGGCUAGAGUCCGGAAGAGGAGGGUGGAAUUCCCGGUGUAGCGGUGAAAUGCGCAGAUAUCGGGAGGAACACCUGUGGCGAAAGCGGCGCACUGGACCAUAACUGACGCUGAGGCGCGAAAGCUAGGGGAGCAAACAGG
rnacentral:rRNA from 1 species